rnacentral:lncRNA from 1 species
CUUAGCACAGUGCCUGCCCCAGAGAUGGUGCUCAAUAUGUAUGUGUUAAAUAGAUGUGGAAUGAAUACCUCAGUUGAGUGUGUUCUAUGUCCUGGGAACUAUCACAGAGAAGAGAGAUGAAAAUAGGAAUAAAACAUGCUCUCUGCCUCAAGAAACGUUGCAAACUCAAAUGCCUUACCAAGGCCAUGAGGAUGCUCUACAAGUGAAGCAGGCGGAGAAGUAAACCAGAGCAUGGUGAGCAGUGGGGUAAGUAAGAGAGUCCAUUCUACUUAGUUCCACCCAGUCGUAAUGUGGGACUGUUGGUCCAGUGCUUCCAGCUCUUGAAACGUUAAAUAGGCCAAACCAAACAGGUCUGUGGGCUGAUUCUCACCUGAAGGAUCCUAAGAUUGUGACUGUAGGUUUAACGAUCAAACGGAAGGCUGAUGGGAAGCGAGCAGAGAGAUGCCUAAUGAAGAUGGAAGGGACAGAUGGCACCCAGAAGAACCUGAGAGCAGCCAGUGUUAACUUGGGAAUGGAUGGAUGGGUGCUGUUUGAAAACAGCGGGAGAGGGAGCAGUAAAGAGCAAAGGUGAGUAAAAAAUUAGGUUGCUUGAAACCAGGUUAUUUG